rnacentral:rRNA from 1 species
GAUGAACGCUGGCGGCGUGCCUAAUACAUGCAAGUCGAGCGAACGGACGAGAAGCUUGCUUCUCUGAUGUUAGCGGCGGACGGGUGAGUAACACGUGGAUAACCUACCUAUAAGACUGGGAUAACUUCGGGAAACCGGAGCUAAUACCGGAUAAUAUUUUGAACCGCAUGGUUCAAAAGUGAAAGACGGUCUUGCUGUCACUUAUAGAUGGAUCCGCGCUGCAUUAGCUAGUUGGUAAGGUAACGGCUUACCAAGGCAACGAUGCAUAGCCGACCUGAGAGGGUGAUCGGCCACACUGGAACUGAGACACGGUCCAGACUCCUACGGGAGGCAGCAGUAGGGAAUCUUCCGCAAUGGGCGAAAGCCUGACGGAGCAACGCCGCGUGAGUGAUGAAGGUCUUCGGAUCGUAAAACUCUGUUAUUAGGGAAGAACAUAUGUGUAAGUAACUGUGCACAUCUUGACGGUACCUAAUCAGAAAGCCACGGCUAACUACGUGCCAGCAGCCGCGGUAAUACGUAGGUGGCAAGCGUUAUCCGGAAUUAUUGGGCGUAAAGCGCGCGUAGGCGGUUUUUUAAGUCUGAUGUGAAAGCCCACGGCUCAACCGUGGAGGGUCAUUGGAAACUGGAAAACUUGAGUGCAGAAGAGGAAAGUGGAAUUCCAUGUGUAGCGGUGAAAUGCGCAGAGAUAUGGAAGAACACCAGUGGCGAAGGCGACUUUCUGGUCUGUAACUGACGCUGAUGUGCGAAAGCGUGGGGAUCAAACAGGAUUAGAUACCCUGGUAGUCCACGCCGUAAACGAUGAGUGCUAAGUGUUAGGGGGUUUCCGCCCCUUAGUGCUGCAGCUAACGCAUUAAGCACUCCGCCUGGGGAGUACGACCGCAAGGUUGAAACUCAAAGGAAUUGACGGGGACCCGCACAAGCGGUGGAGCAUGUGGUUUAAUUCGAAGCAACGCGAAGAACCUUACCAAAUCUUGACAUCCUUUGACAACUCUAGAGAUAGAGCUUUCCCCUUCGGGGGACAAAGUGACAGGUGGUGCAUGGUUGUCGUCAGCUCGUGUCGUGAGAUGUUGGGUUAAGUCCCGCAACGAGCGCAACCCUUAAGCUUAGUUGCCAUCAUUAAGUUGGGCACUCUAAGUUGACUGCCGGUGACAAACCGGAGGAAGGUGGGGAUGACGUCAAAUCAUCAUGCCCCUUAUGAUUUGGGCUACACACGUGCUACAAUGGACAAUACAAAGGGCAGCGAAACCGCGAGGUCAAGCAAAUCCCAUAAAGUUGUUCUCAGUUCGGAUUGUAGUCUGCAACUCGACUACAUGAAGCUGGAAUCGCUAGUAAUCGUAGAUCAGCAUGCUACGGUGAAUACGUUCCCGGGUCU